rnacentral:rRNA from 1 species
GAUGAACGCUAGCUACAGGCUUAACACAUGCAAGUCGAGGGGUAACGAGAGGGAAGCUUGCUUUCCUUGUCGACGACCGGCGCACGGGUGAGUAACGCGUAUCCAACCUGCCCCCAACUAGGGAAUAACCUUGCGAAAGUAAGACUAAUACCCUAUAAUCUCCUCAGAUGUCAUCUGACGAGGAAUAAAGAUUUAUCGGUUGUGGAUGGGGAUGCGUCUGAUUAGCUUGUUGGCGGGGUAACGGCCCACCAAGGCAACGAUCAGUAGGGGUUCUGAGAGGAAGGUCCCCAACAUGGGAACUGGGACACGGUCCAAACUCCUACGGGAGGCAGCAGUGAGGAAUAUUGGUCAAUGGGCGGAAGCCUGAACCAGCCAAGUAGCGUGCAGGGUGACGGCCCUAUGGGUUGUAAACUGCUUUUAUACAGGAAUAAAGUUAGCCACGUGUGGUUAUUUGUAGGUACUGUAUGAAUAAGGACCGGCUAAUUCCGUGCCAGCCGCCGCCGUAA